GGAAGUAGAAAUGCACUAUAGCUUUGCAUGUACAGUGCAGUGGAGUCUGUGUCUCAUAGAUGGCUUGUUUUCUGAUGACAAUAAUCUUAAGUGGAUGAUUUUUAACAUAUGGAAGUGCCUAUUCUUCUGUGCAUUCGUAUCAGCUAACGGGCUCUGCAUUGAUUGCCCAACCUAGAGGUAUAAAAAUAGCUAAUUGAUGGAUUCUUUCUUGUAUUUCAGAUCUGGCUACACUUACUCUGGGUAACAGAUGACAGAUUUAUAACUAUCCCAAGGUCAACUUUUUUUUAGCUACAUGCUGUUUUUUCAUUACAACCUCUCUGACCAAAAACUGACUUGCAAAUGGAGGAGGAAGACUUGCGCUCCUCCCUUCCUGAAGCCACAAAUUCUGUUCUUUUUGCGCCUAGCCACGAAUCACGGGCCUCUACAGAACAUCAAUACCUCAAUGGACAACCAGAUGCUGUGGCAAAGGAGCAUACGGAGCUGCUUAUAACCCAGGAAGUAGAGCCAGAGCAUAUUUAUUUCCACACAGACAACAAAGGUACUGCGGCCGAAACGGAGACUUGGGAACAAAUAAUAUGGCCAGUCUGCAACACAACACCGCUGUCCCUGGCCUCAGAGGACUGGGAUAUGCCCAGGCCGAGCUCUGGGACGCCUCCACAUGAGACGGACAAGGUUGUGGCCAAUCAACCCCACUCGGAUGCUCUAACACAGGCCCUCAGCGCGUCCUUCCCUAUUAAUUCUGAAAGUGAUCAUAGCCAUCUGUUCAAAGAGGCCGACGCCGAAGAACAAGACGAGUUUGAUUCGUGGCUGCUUCUCUGCUCCGAGGCAGAAUGGAUGGGACCCAAUUUAAAGCCAUGUGAUACGGAAAGCACAAACUCGCACAGAACACAGGAAGAGGAACACGCGACACACAAGCUCUUAGACCACAAAUUCGGUAGGUGCUAUAAAAAAC
ensembl:lncRNA